UGCCAGAAUUAUCAUUCAUAAUAUGUGAAUUUAGUUGUGUCUUUCUGAUGAUGGUCAGAUUGGUCGAGCUACACUCGGGCCUGAUUACUCAUUUAUCAGAUGCACUAAAUUCUGACAUGUUAAUGGUUGGACCUAACCAGAACUUUUAGUGGAGAUGCCAUACGCCUGCUGAAGAGGUGUCUGGGGCAAAAUUAAAUGCUAGAAAUUAUUUGGUGAAACAAUUGGUUAAGAACCUAUCCAUGGGGCACAAGGGUUGGCCGAGCCACACUCGGACCCAUGUGCAGUCCAUGUGAAUUCUAGUACCCACUAAGGAAUUAGUGUAA
rnacentral:lncRNA from 1 species